rnacentral:rRNA from 1 species
UACUAGAGUAGCACUCGCAUAUCAAUAAGCGGAGGAAAAGAAACUAACAAGGAUUCCCCUAGUAACGGCGAGUGAAGCGGGAAGAGCUCAAAUUUGAAAUCUUAAAGGGUUUCCCUUUACGAAUUGUAGUUUAAAGAAGUGUUUUCUGUUGAGGUUUUGGUAAAGUUCUUUGGAAUAGGACAUCAUAGAGGGUGAGAAUCCCGUAUUUGACCUUUACUUUCAACUUUGUGAUACACUUUCAAAGAGUCGGAUUGUUUGGGAAUGCAGUCCAAAAUGGGUGGUAAAUUUCAUCUAAAGCUAAAUAUUGGCGAGAGACCGAUAGCGAACAAGUACCGUGAGGGAAAGAUGAAAAGAACUUUGAAAAGAGAGUUAAACAGUACGUGAAAUUGUCAAAAGGGAAGCGUUUGACACCAGUGUUGUUUUUCUGAAAAUCAAUUAAAGAACUGUUUAUGCUAAGUUGUUUAGACUUUAUCAGCUAUCUGUUUAGUUUUAGGCUUUUCUUUAAUGCACUUUUCAGUUAACAUGUCAACAUCAAUUUCUUUUGCUGUAAAAAAGCUUGAGGAAGGUGGCUUGAGAUUCGUCUUAAGUGUUUAUAGCCUCUUGCCUAUGCAGUCGGAGAGAUUGAGGUCUGCAGCGUAGAUCCUUCGGGGCUAAAUGCAUUUGUGCUAAGUUAUAGCAUUUUAUAGACAACUUGUUGACUAUGAUUUGUCUUGUAGCUUACUCGCUUAUGUUAUUUUACCUACGCUUAGGAUGUUGAGCGCAUGUCUCUCUCU